rnacentral:rRNA from 1 species
CCUACGGGAGGCAGCAGUCGAGAAUCAUUCACAAUGGGGGAAACCCUGAUGGUGCGACGCCGCGUGGGGGAAUGAAGGUCUUCGGAUUUUAAACCCCUGUCAUGUGGGAGCAAAUUAAAAAGAUAGUACCACAAGAGGAAGAGACGGCUAACUCUGUGCCAGCAGCCGCGGUAAUACAGAGGUCUCAAGCGUUGUUCGGAAUCAUGGGGCGUAAAGCGUGCGUAGGCUGUUUCGUAAGUCGUGUGUGAAAGGCGCGGGCUCAACCCGCGGACGGCACAUGAUACUGCGAGACUAGAGUAAUGGAGGGGGAACCGGAAUUCUCGGUGUAGCAGUGAAAUGCGUAGAUAUCGAGAGGAACACUCGUGGCGAAGGCGGGUUCCUGGACAUUAACUGACGCUGAGGCACGAAGGCCAGGGGAGCGAAAGGGAUUAGAUACCCUAGUAGUC